CGCUGUCGGCGUGCUUAACACAUGCAAGUCGAACGGAAAGGCCCUGCUUUUGUGGGGUGCUCGAGUGGCGAACGGGUGAGUAACGCGUGAGUAACCUGCCCUUGACUUUGGGAUAACUUCAGGAAACUGGGGCUAAUACCGGAUAGGAGCUCCUGCUGCAUGGUGGGGGUUGGAAAGUUUCGGCGGUUGGGGAUGGACUCGCGGCUUAUCAGCUUGUUGGUGGGGUAGUGGCUUACCAAGGCUUUGACGGGUAGCCGGCCUGAGAGGGUGACCGGCCACAUUGGGACUGAGAUACGGCCCAGACUCCUACGGGAGGCAGCAGUGGGGAAUAUUGCACAAUGGGCGGAAGCCUGAUGCAGCAACGCCGCGUGCGGGAUGACGGCCUUCGGGUUGUAAACCGCUUUCGCCUGUGACGAAGCGUGAGUGACGGUAAUGGGUAAAGAAGCACCGGCUAACUACGUGCCAGCAGCCGCGGUGAUACGUAGGGUGCGAGCGUUGUCCGGAUUUAUUGGGCGUAAAGGGCUCGUAGGUGGUUGAUCGCGUCGGAAGUGUAAUCUUGGGGCUUAACCCUGAGCGUGCUUUCGAUACGGGUUGACUUGAGGAAGGUAGGGGAGAAUGGAAUUCCUGGUGGAGCGGUGGAAUGCGCAGAUAUCAGGAGGAACACCAGUGGCGAAGGCGGUUCUCUGGGCCUUUCCUGACGCUGAGGAGCGAAAGCGUGGGGAGCGAACAGGCUUAGAUACCCUGGUAGUCCACGCUGUAAACGGUGGGUACUAGGUGUGGGGUCCAUUCCACGGGUUCCGUGCCGUAGCUAACGCUUUAAGUACCCCGCCUGGGGAGUACGGCCGCAAGGCUAAAACUCAAAGGAAUUGACGGGGCCCCGCACAAGCGGCGGAGCAUGCGGAUUAAUUCGAUGCAACGCGUAGAACCUUACCUGGGUUUGACAUGGAUCGGGAGUGCUCAGAGAUGGGUGUGCCUCUUUUGGGGUCGGUUCACAGGUGGUGCAUGGCUGUCGUCAGCUCGUGUCGUGAGAUGUUGGGUUAAGUUCCGCAACGAGCGCAACCCUUGUUCACUGUUGCCAGCACGUUAUGGUGGGGACUCAGUGGAGACCGCCGGGGUCAACUCGGAGGAAGGUGGGGAUGACGUCAAGUCAUCAUGCCCCUUAUGUCCAGGGCUUCACGCAUGCUACAAUGGCUGGUACAGAGAGUGGCGAGCCUGUGAGGGUGAGCGAAUCUCGGAAAGCCGGUCCCAGUUCGGAUUGGGGUCUGCAACUCGACCUCAUGAAGUCGGAGUCGCUAGUAAUCGCAGAUCAGCAACGCUGCGGUGAAUACGUUCCCGGGGCUUGUACACACCGCCCGUCAAGUCAUGAAAGUUGGUAACACCCGAAGCCGGUGGCCUAACCGUUGUGGGGGAGCCGUCGAAGGUGGGACUGGUGAUUAGG
rnacentral:rRNA from 1 species